rnacentral:rRNA from 1 species
UAAGGAAUAUUGGACAAUGGGCGCAAGCCUGAUCCAGCAAUGCCGCGUGUGUGAAGAAGGCCUUCGGGUUGUAAAGCACUUUUAUCAGGAGCGAAACGCUGUCGGCUAAUACCCGGCGGAACUGACGGUACCUGAGGAAUAAGCACCGGCUAACUUCGUGCCAGCAGCCGCGGUAAUACGAAGGGUGCAAGCGUUAAUCGGAAUUACUGGGCGUAAAGCGUGCGUAGGCGGUUUCUUAAGUCUGCUGUGAAAUCCCCGGGCUCAACCUGGGAAUGGCAGUGGAUACUGGGAGGCUAGAGUGUGUCAGAGGGUGGUGGAAUUCCCGGUGUAGCGGUGAAAUGCGUAGAGAUCGGGAGGAACAUCAGUGGCGAAGGCGGCCACCUGGGACAACACUGACGCUGAGGCACGAAAGCGUGGGGAGCAAACAGGAUUAGAUACCCUGGUAGUCCACGCCCUAAAACGAUGCGAACUGGAUGUUGGUCUCAACUCGGAGAUCAGUGUCGAAGCUAACGCGUUAAGUUCGCCGCCUGGGGAGUACGGUCGCAAGACUGAAACUCAAAUGAAUUGACGGGGUCAUAGCUGUUUCC